GACGUAGGGCGCGAGCGUUGUCCGGAUUUAUUGGGCGUAAAGAGCUCGUAGGCGGCUUGUCGCGUCGACUGUGAAAAACCCGCGGCUCAACUGUGGGGCUUUGCAGUCGAUACGGGGCAGGCUGGAGUUCGGUAGAGGAGACUGGAAUUCCUGGUGUAGCGGGUGAAAAUGCGCAGAUAUCAGGAGGAAACACCCGGUGG
rnacentral:rRNA from 1 species